AACGAACGCUGGCGGCGUGGAUUAGGCAUGCAAGUCGUACGCGAAAGAGGGGGCAACCCCUUGAGUAGAGUGGCGAACGGGUGAGUAACGCGUGAGGAACCUGCCUUCGACAGGGGGAUAACACUCCCAACGGGGUGCUAAUACCGCAUGAGACCACGGGGCUGCAUGGCCCUGAGGUCAAAGAUGGCCUCUAUUUAUAAGCUAUCGGUCGAAGAUGGCCUCGCGUCCCAUUAGCUAGUUGGCGGUGUAAAAGACCACCAAGGCGACGAUGGGUAGCUGGUCUGAGAGGAUGGUCAGCCACACUGGGACUGAGAUACGGCCCAGACUCCUACGGGAGGCAGCAGUCGAGAGGCUUCGGCAAUGGGGGAAACCCUGACCGAGCGACGCCGCGUGAGGGAUGAAGGCCCUUGGGUUGUAAACCUCUUUUGUUCGGGAAGAAGUGCGAUCAGGUGAAUAAUCUGGUCGUUUGACGGUACCGGACGAAUAAGCUCCGGCUAACUCCGUGCC
rnacentral:rRNA from 1 species